rnacentral:snRNA from 2 species
AUGCUCACUUGGGCAGCAUGUGUACUAAAAUUAGAAUGAUACAGAGAAGAUCAGCAUGGCCCCUGCACAAGGAUGACACAGAAAUUCAUGAAGUGAUCAAGCAUAAG